ACCUUGCUGACGAGUGCCAAAAUAGCACGAAAUCUAGGUCCAGGGU
rnacentral:hammerhead_ribozyme from 1 species